rnacentral:rRNA from 1 species
CCAGACAGCCAGGAUGUUGGCUUAGAAGCAGCCAUCAUUUAAAGAAAGCGUAAUAGCUCACUGGUCGAGUCGGCCUGCGCGGAAGAUGUAACGGGGCUAAACCAUGCACCGAAGCUGCGGCAGCGACACUGUGUGUUGUUGGGUAGGGGAGCGUUCUGUAAGCCUGCGAAGGUGUGCUGUGAGGCAUGCUGGAGGUAUCAGAAGUGCGAAUGCUGACAUAAGUAACGAUAAAGCGGGUGAAAAGCCCGCUCGCCGGAAGACCAAGGGUUCCUGUCCAACGUUAAUCGGGGCAGG